AUCCUGGCUCAGGAUGAACGCUGGCGGCGUGCCUAAUACAUGCAAGUCGAGCGAACGGACGAGAAGCUUGCUUCUCUGAUGUUAGCGGCGGACGGGUGAGUAACACGUGGAUAACCUACCUAUAAGACUGGGAUAACUUCGGGAAACCGGAGCUAAUACCGGAUAAUAUUUUGAACCGCAUGGUUCAAAAGUGAAAGACGGUCUUGCUGUCACUUAUAGAUGGAUCCGCGCUGCAUUAGCUAGUUGGUAAGGUAACGGCUUACCAAGGCAACGAUGCAUAGCCGACCUGAGAGGGUGAUCGGCCACACUGGAACUGAGACACGGUCCAGACUCCUACGGGAGGCAGCAGUAGGGAAUCUUCCGCAAUGGGCGAAAGCCUGACGGAGCAACGCCGCGUGAGUGAUGAAGGUCUUCGGAUCGUAAAACUCUGUUAUUAGGGAAGAACAUAUGUGUAAGUAACUGUGCACAUCUUGACGGUACCUAAUCAGAAAGCCACGGCUAACUACGUGCCAGCAGCCGCGGUAAUACGUAGGUGGCAAGCGUUAUCCGGAAUUAUUGGGCGUAAAGCGCGCGUAGGCGGUUUUUUAAGUCUGAUGUGAAAGCCCACGGCUCAACCGUGGAGGGUCAUUGGAAACUGGAAAACUUGAGUGCAGAAGAGGAAAGUGGAAUUCCAUGUGUAGCGGUGAAAUGCGCAGAGAUAUGGAGGAACACCAGUGGCGAAGGCGACUUUCUGGUCUGUAACUGACGCUGAUGUGCGAAAGCGUGGGGAUCAAACAGGAUUAGAUACCCUGGUAGUCCACGCCGUAAACGAUGAGUGCUAAGUGUUAGGGGGUUUCCGCCCCUUAGUGCUGCAGCUAACGCAUUAAGCACUCCGCCUGGGGAGUACGACCGCAAGGUUGAAACUCAAAGGAAUUGACGGGGACCCGCACAAGCGGUGGAGCAUGUGGUUUAAUUCGAAGCAACGCGAAGAACCUUACCAAAUCUUGACAUCCUUUGACAACUCUAGAGAUAGAGCCUUCCCCUUCGGGGGACAAAGUGACAGGUGGUGCAUGGUUGUCGUCAGCUCGUGUCGUGAGAUGUUGGGUUAAGUCCCGCAACGAGCGCAACCCUUAAGCUUAGUUGCCAUCAUUAAGUUGGGCACUCUAAGUUGACUGCCGGUGACAAACCGGAGGAAGGUGGGGAUGACGUCAAAUCAUCAUGCCCCUUAUGAUUUGGGCUACACACGUGCUACAAUGGACAAUACAAAGGGCAGCGAAACCGCGAGGUCAAGCAAAUCCCAUAAAGUUGUUCUCAGUUCGGAUUGUAGUCUGCAACUCGACUACAUGAAGCUGGAAUCGCUAGUAAUCGUAGAUCAGCAUGCUACGGUGAAUACGUUCCCGGGUCUUGUACACACCGCCCGUCACACCACGAGAGUUUGUAACACCCGAAGCCGGUGGAGUAACCUUUUAGGAGCUAGCCGUCGAAGGUGGGACAAAUGAUUGGGGUGAAGUCGUAACA
rnacentral:rRNA from 1 species